rnacentral:rRNA from 1 species
AGCUCUUUUACCAGGGAUGAUAAUGACAGUACCUGGAGAAUAAGCUCCGGCUAACUCCGUGCCAGCAGCCGCGGUAAUACGGAGGGAGCUAGCGUUGUUCGGAAUUACUGGGCGUAAAGCGUACGUAGGCGGUUAUUCAAGUCAGAGGUGAAAGCCCGGGGCUCAACCCCGGAACGGCCUUUGAAACUAGAUAGCUAGAGUCUUGGAGAGGUCAGUGGAAUUCCGAGUGUAGAGGUGAAAUUCGUAGAUAUUCGGAAGAACACCAGUGGCGAAGGCGACUGACUGGACAAGUACUGACGCUGAGGUACGAAAGCGUGGGGAGCAAACAGGAUUAGAUACCCUGGUAGUCCACGCCGUAAACGAUGAUAACUAGCUGUCCGGGUACUUGGUAUCUGGGUGGCGCAGCUAACGCAUUAAGUUAUCCGCCUG